AUUGAACGCUGGCGGCAGGCCUAACACAUGCAAGUCGAGCGAGCGGCGGACGGGUGAGUAAUGUAUGGGGACUGCCCGAUAGAGGGGGAUAACUACUGGAAACGGUGGCUAAUACCGCAUACUAUCGGAUUACCCAAAUGGGAUUAGCUCGUAUGUGGGGUAAAGGCUCACCUAGGCGACGAUCUCUAGCUGGUCUGAGAGGAUGAUCAGCCACACUGUGACUGAGACACGGCCCAGAAUCCUACGGAGGCAGGAGUGGGGAAUAUGGCACACUGGGGGCAGGCCUGAUUCAGCCAUGCCGCUGGUAUGAAGAAGGCCUUAGGGUUGUAAAGUACUUUCAGCGGGGAGGCGUUACCCGCAGAAGAAGCACCGGCUAACUCCGUGCCAGCAGCCGCGGUAAUAC
rnacentral:rRNA from 1 species